GAGUUUGAUCGUGGCUCAGGAUGAACGCUGGCGGCGUGCCUAAUACAUGCAAGUCGAGCGAACGGACGAGAAGCUUGCUUCUCUGAUGUUAGCGGCGGACGGGUGAGUAACACGUGGGUAACCUACCUAUAAGACUGGGAUAACUCCGGGAAACCGGGGCUAAUACCGGAUAACACAUGAAACCGCAUGGUUUCAUGAUGAAAGACGGUCUUGCUGUCACUUAUAGAUGGAUCCGCGCUGCAUUAGCUAGUUGGUAAGGUAACGGCUUACCAAGGCAACGAUGCAUAGCCGACCUGAGAGGGUGAUCGGCCACACUGGAACUGAGACACGGUCCAGACUCCUACGGGAGGCAGCAGUAGGGAAUCUUCCGCAAUGGGCGAAAGCCUGACGGAGCAACGCCGCGUGAGUGAUGAAGGUCUUCGGAUCGUAAAACUCUGUUAUUAGGGAAGAACAUAUGUGUAAGUAACUAGUGCACAUCUUGACGGUACCUAAUCAGAAAGCCACGGCUAACUACG
rnacentral:rRNA from 1 species